GUGACUCAAGCUACCACAUGUUGAUUGUGAUGAAAUGCUAGCUGAGGCAUAUUCCCUGGGAGCUAAGGGGUGCUACACUUCACCACUGUGGCAGUAAAGAUGACUCCGAAGAAUGGCUUGGGAUGGAUCCUUUCAAAUGAACUUAAGCAGGGGUCUCCAACCACAGGGCCACAGAGCUGGAGGUGAGCAGCAGCUGGAUCUACCAUGAAAUACUUCAGAAUCCAGGAAGAGAGACUGACUGGGCAACGUGUUAUUCAGGGGUUGUGGAAAAGGAAAGUGGUAUAAAGUAAAUGACACAGUGACAGAAGAAUUCGACCUAAAUAAUGAGUUCCUGGAGUGUGAAUGCUUCGGUGAAGAAUAUAGACCAAAAAUUUAUGAUCAAGGGGGGUCUGAUGAGAAUGCUGGGGAUCACCAAAGAAGACUCGAGUCAGCUUUGUACAGCAGGAAGCUGAGGACUUCUUUCCGUAAGUUUCUUUUCACUUGUGAGUACAAAAUAUCUGAGACAGGUCCUCAAUGUUUGGAAAGUUUAUUUUGCCAAGGUUAUGGACAUGACAGCCUAUGGAGUUCCUGAGGACAUGCUCCCAAGAUGGUUGGGGUACAGUUUGCUUUUAUACAUUGUUGCGAAUUGUGAGACAUCAAUCAAUAUGUUUAAGAUGUACAUUGGUUUUGUCCAGAAAGGUGGGACAACUGGAAGCAUGGGAGGGGGCUUCCAGGUCAUAAGUAGAUUAAGACAAAUGGUUGCAUUCUCUUGAGUCUCUGAUUAGCCUUUUUCUGAAUACACAAUUUACAUGUGAGAAGAGGGUAAAAGAAUCUUCACUCAUGCCUUAGUCUGGCUUAGUGAAAUGAUAGAGCAGAAGAAACAGUGAGAUGUGCAUUUGUCUCAGGUGAGCAGAGAGAUGGCAUUGUGCUCUGUUCAUCCUUUGCCCACAAGGAAAUUCCCUAAGGGCAAAUGGUGAAGGAGGUAUGUAGUUCCUUAUCUUUGUAGCCAUCUUAUUUAGUAAUAAAUUGGGAGCAAGUUUGCUUGAUGCAGUUCCCAGCUGUCUUCCCUUUGGAUUAGUGAAGAUUUAUUUUAUUUCCUUCUAUAAACUUGCUCUGUGAUUUAGUUAGUGUUAGUGUGAUAUUUGAGAAUACAGUAUUUGGGAUUUGAAGAUAAUUAGCUAAGCUAGAUAGAAAUUCCUAAAAUAAGUCUAAAAUUAAACAAAUACCUUUUCUUUAUUAUUGCUUCCUGGUCAUUAUUUCCUUGGCAAUAACUUACUUUGUAUUUAGAAACAUGCACAUAAGUUAGUUCCUUCUAGAAUCGAGAUUUUAAAAAAGUUUACACUUGAGGUUCUUUUAAACAUGUUGGCAUCAUUUAUUGAAUUACACUUCAUGUCCAAAACAUAGCACUAUAUCAACACUCUCAGAACGCUGUUGCUUUUUAAAGACCCUGUUGUCAGUGAAUUUACCUUUCAAUAAAUUGAAUCAGGAAAGUAUAUAAUUUACUUUUUCAUGUAAAACUGUGUUUAAGUCUGGUUUAUCAAGUUUGAAAACUUUGCUCAAUAAUUAUUAUAAGACUUUGAAUGUGUGGCUCUAAAAUGAGUUUAUUUCACUGCUCUUGAAUGGUCAUAAUGGCUGGAAAAGAUACCUCACAGUAACAUGUAGGAAGAAUUUAUUUUCCUGCUUCAUAAGUUACGGUACUCAGUUUUAAAUCCCAUAUGCCAGUUAAGUUAAAAUUUGUCCUGCAAAUUUUUAAUUUUUUAUAAUGUCACUCAGUUCUCCAAACUAAUUGAAAGAUACUAACUUUUUAAUUAUUUAAUGAAAACAUUAUAAUUCUAUAUACUUGAUGAGGUACAGUUUGAUGUUUUGAUACACAUACACAUUGUAUCAUGAUCAAACAAUUUAAGUGUAAUGCCCUGUUCAUGUGAGUUUGGCAAGUUUUAAAACUACUAAAACAAUAGCCACUUUCUGCUAGACAAAGUUUUCUAAUCCUGUCUAGUCCCAUCUUCACCAGCAAUUUUGUGUCAGUCAUCUCCUUGGUCCCAUGGGCCUAAUUAUGCCUGGAUGUCUGUUCUAACCAAGCUGAUUUUAAAAGGCAAGAAGAACGACUAUCUGGAGAAAAUGCCUGUUGGAAUAUACCAGGUAAGAAUCAUUUGAAAAAUUCUAAAGGGGAGAAUUCAGGUAGAUGUCAGAGUGUACCUGGUAGAUCCAGAGGCACUCCCGCUGGUCUUUAUCUGGAUGAGUUAUAGGCUGCAGAGAUAGCUGUAGAGCUAGUGCCAGGGAGUACUAAGGACACAGAUGUGAAUGCACACUCGAGAUUGGCCAGCACAAUCACUGAGCUGCUGUGUGGUGUGAGAUGACAGCAAUAAACAGAGGCAUGGGGAGUAGGCAGUCAGGAAAUACAUUGAUGAAAUUAACUUAUCUGGCGAGAAGAACAAGUGAACGCUUGUAAUCAUUGGGUAAUGAUUAUGACAGACAUUAUUUAUUGUAUACCUCCUCUGAGCUACAUGCUUUAAGCAAAUCUUCAAUUCUUAAAAGACUCAUGGAGUGGUGGGUUGUUAUUUCCAUUUUUCGGAUGGAAAAACUGCAGUUCAGAAAAGAAGCAAAAAGCCAGUGUCAUAGAGCAUGCAUUUAAAUUCAGAACUAUAUACCCAGCCUAGACUUUAUAUACUAAACAAAGCUCAAAAGCAAGAUGCAAGGAAUAUGAAUAUAUAUAUAUAUAUAUAUGGCUGAGUGCAGUGGCUCACACCUGUAAUCCCACCACUUUGGGAGGCUGAAGUUGAGGCGGAAAGACUGCUAGAGGCCAGGAGUUGGAGAUGGAGUUGGGAAAAAGAUAGCCAGUUUUGGUGGUGUGUGCCUACAGUGCCAGCUACUCCAGAGGCUUAGGUG